rnacentral:rRNA from 1 species
GACGAACGCUGGCGGCGUGCUUAACACAUGCAAGUCGAACGGUAAGGCCCUUCGGGGUACACGAGUGGCGAACGGGUGAGUAACACGUGGGUGAUCUGCCCUGCACUUCGGGAUAAGCCUGGGAAACUGGGUCUAAUACCGGAUAGGACUCCGGACUGCAUGGUCUGGGGUGGAAAGCUUUUGCGGUGUGGGAUGGGCCCGCGGCCUAUCAGCUUGUUGGUGGGGUGAUGGCCUGCCAAGGCGACGACGGGUAGCCGGCCUGAGAGGGUGACCGGCCACACUGGGGCUGAGAUACGGCCCAGAGGCCUACGGGAGGCAGCAGUGGGGAAUAUUGCACAAUGGGCGCAAGCCUGAUGCAGCGACGCCGCGUGAGGGAUGACGGCCUUCGGGUUGUAAACCUCUUUCAGCACAGACGAAGCGCAAGUGACGGUAUGUGCAGAAGAAGGACCGGCCAACUACGUGCCAGCCGCCGCCGUAA